rfam:Asellus aquaticus repeated unit containing type a 5S rRNA gene and T1 snRNA gene, clone AA5SAT1RNA
AUACUUACCUGGCACAGGGGAUACCACGAUCACCAAGGUGGUUCCCCCAAGACGAGGCUCACCAUUGCACUCCGGUGGCGCUGACCCUUGCAAUGACCCCAAAUGUGGGUUACUCGGGUGUGUAAUUUCUGUUAGCUGGGGACUGCGUUCGCGCUUUCCCCUU